UACCAGCACCCCGAGUGGUCGGGACGAUUAUUGGGCCUAAAGCGUCCGUAGCCGGUCCUACAAGUCUUCCGUUAAAUCCACCUGCUUAACAGAUGGGCUGCGGAAGAUACUAUAGGGCUAGGAGGCGGGAGAGGCAAGCGGUACUCAGUGGGUAGGGGUAAAAUCCUCUGAUCCAUUGAAGACCACCAGUGGCGAAGGCGGCUCUCUAGUACGUGACUGACGCUGAGACGCGAAAGCGUGGGGAGCGAACAGG
rnacentral:rRNA from 1 species